CAGCAGCCGCGGUAAUACGAAGGGGGCUAGCGUUGUUCGGAAUUACUGGGCGUAAAGCGCACGUAGGCGGAUUUUUAAGUCAGGGGUGAAAUCCCGAGGCUCAACCUCGGAACUGCCUUUGAUACUGGAGAUCUUGAGUUCGGAAGAGGUUGGUGGAACAGCUAGUGUAGAGGUGAAAUUCGUAGAUAUUAGCUAGAACACCAGUGGCGAAGGCGGCCAACUGGUCCGAUACUGACGCUGAGGUGCGAAAGCGUGGGGAGCAAACAGGAUUAGAUACCCCCGUAGUCCCUGUCUCUUAUAC
rnacentral:rRNA from 1 species